rnacentral:lncRNA from 1 species
UAAUCGUAAAAUUUCCGUUUUCAAUAUACUGUUACCUAAAAGCAAUUAGCAACACAUCCAACGUAACCAAAUGCAAUACUUCAUGAAUCUACCAAGUUUUAAUCUAAUUUUUCAAGCCACUGUCGUAUCGCGUGCAAUCUCUUGAUUUAAAUAAAAAAAAGCAAGGAAAGGGAAUUUUAUUCUCUGGAAUCAAGACAAUCAACGCGAGCAGAGUUUGCUCGGCCUCAGCAGAGCAACGCAAUUAAUUAUCGUUAAUCGCGGCGAUUAAUCGCGCGGCGGUCUAGGCAUCUCGGUAUGAAUUACUAUGUCGCGGGCCGUGUAACCGUAACUCAGCGUCAUCUGUGCACCAGUUAUCGUUCCUUAUCGACCAACGAGCGACUUGCUUCUCUUGUCACGCGUUCUUUCGUCGAAACGGCCUCUCCUGGCCGUGGAAACGCGCAUAAAUCGCGAUUUUGCGCAACGACACGCAUGCAAAGUGGCGCGGGAACGCGAGCAGAUUUUCCUUGGCGAUAACUACUCGACGCGGCUAGGUCCGAAAGGAAAAGUUGUCCUGGGUAAAUCGGCCGUUCCGGCUGACGUGCGAAGCGUUACGCGGGCGAAAAGCCGAGCGAACUUCUCAAGGAGUUCCAGUGACUGCGUGGAACAGGUAAUUCGUGUCUGACCACGCGGACACGUUUCUUCUGACCUGUCUUCGUGACUGGCGACGACCUUCUGCGGCCGACAUAUCUGACAGAAGUGAUAUAGAGGCGGAAAUAGAAGGACGAAUGUGGAGUAUAGGUGGGAAUGUGACGUUAGUCGCGUGAAGGAAGAAAUAAGAACGUCAGAAAGAAACGAAACAGAAAUAUUACGACAGGAUUUUACACCUUUAGAUCGGUGUAGUUUUAUAAAAAAAAAGUGACCUUUGGCCUCGGCGCAGAUCCUGCAGAGAUAUCGGUUUCGUUUUCACCGUGACGCAGUGGUACGCGCGCACACAUCGCAGUACACGCCUUUUGCCUUUUGCCCGUUGUCGGAGCAACACUUAAUUUGUCCGUCCACUUGUGCCCUCGCCGCGGGACGUUCAUUGGCCGCCGUGUAGCCAAGGAUGAAGAUUCGAGGGAGAACCGUGAGAGGCCGCGAAGGACGCCAGUGAAAGUGCUCCAUGGAUCUAUUUACUCAACGGGAAAUAAGCCUUUGUGUGCAGAUUUCUAUACCGAUCAUCUACUAUGCAAUAUUGCCGAUAUCGUACAACGCUCGAAUAGAUGAAUAAGUGGUAUCGCGUACAUCAGACGUUUAAUUUUAAUCGAUGCCGAGAUUUAUGGUAAGUAUACAUGUGGAUAUUGUUUGGUACUUGAAUGGUAUGUUUUGGUAUUCGAUCAUGUGAAACAGAUAAGGUGAAGGUAUUACUGAGCGUUUAUCGUAUAUACGGCUAUUUAUCACCCGAUGAAAUUCUACUAGCCUGUGACAAUUUUCUAAUCGUCGAUUUAUGUUUCCCAGUGCCAAAGGUUAAUUUUAUGUAAAAUGUAUUUCGUGUGAAAAUUAUAGCGCCACCUGCCACUUAAUCCUAAUCGGAUAUUGUUUGUUAUUCGAUCGAUCAUUCGCAUUAGAUAAGCUGCAAGUAAUAGUACGUGUUUAUUGCACGCAUGUUUAUUUAUCACCUGGUGAAA